rnacentral:rRNA from 1 species
UAGCCCUAGGGGAACCUGGNGCUGGAUCACCUCCUUA